UACGUAGGGUGCAAGCGUUGUCCGGAAUUAUUGGGCGUAAAGAGCUCGUAGGCGGUGUGUCGCGUCGGGAGUGAAAACCUCGGGCUUAACUCGGGGCUUGCUUUCGAUACGGGCAGACUAGAGGUAUGCAGGGGAGAACGGAAUUCCUGGUGUAGCGGUGAAAUGCGCAGAUAUCAGGAGGAACACCGGUGGCGAAGGCGGGUCUCUGGGCCGAUACUGACGCUGAGGAGCGAAAGCGUGGGGAGCGAACAGG
rnacentral:rRNA from 1 species